AUGGCGGACGAGGGGACGGCCAACUGCAUCGACAUCAUCCUCGCCGUCAUCCUGCCGCCGCUCGGCGUCUUCUUCAAGUUCGCUUGCUUCUUCUUUGUGUUUAACCUCGGGGGAACUUGUUAUGUUUCUCGGGUAUUUUCUGUUCUGUAG
rnacentral:rRNA from 1 species